CUUCCGGAUGGGAGCCGAAACGUCUUGAUUCUGAAAACAGUGUCCAGAUGACUACGACUGAAACCUUUUCUACGAUCUUUUGAAUAUGUUUUUGGCUAUCAACCUCCCCUAUUCCCAUCCCAGGAAGCCAAGGUUGCUGUUCACUCCAUCCAGAACCAUCUGCACCACUGUCAGUGGACGUGGAGGAAGGCUCGUGCUGCCCUUCACCGUGCUUCCACCAGGGCUCAGUCCCAAGUCAACCGCUGGCUACAGCUUACACCCCAGGUCGAAGGGUAUGGCUUUCCUCUAAGGAUCUUCCAUUGAAGGUGGAGUCGAAAAAGUUAGCUCCUCGAUUCAUUGGCCUGUUUGAAAUUGACCGUGUUAUCAACCCGUAUGCUCCCCUCCACCAACCCGGAUAAUUGAUGACCAUCCUGCCUAUACGUUUCGGCAUCUUUUGGAUGUGUGCCGCCGUGGCCGCGGCUUGCAAUACUUGGUGGAUUGGGAGAGAUAAGGGCCUGAGGAGCGCCUUUGGGUGUCCCUUUCUCUGAUACUAGAUCCCACUCUCAUUUGUGACAAGCCAGGUCGGGCUCCUGUUGACGCCCAUAGAGGAAGGGUCCUGCCAUCCCUGACUUCGGCCUCUGUUCCUUCCACUGCUUGGACUCCUGCAACUUUGCCUCCUGAACUACUCCACUUCAGUUUCCUGCUCACUUGGCUUUUCUCAUGAAAAUUCCCAUGGACCCCUCAACGCUUCUCUGGCUCUGUUUGGCUCCAAACCCUGGCUCUCCCCUCUCCCUACAUCACCAUCUGCUGAGUUUAUUUCUAAUAAAUACUUUAAAUCUG